CACGGCCCCGGCACCUCGGGCACGGCCCCGCCGCGGCGGGCGGGCUCCUGCGGGGCUUCCUCCGUCCUUGCGCCUCCGCUCCAGCAUUGCCGUUGUCUGUGCAGGGAGCCGGGGAGGGAAGCCUUGGGCAGACUUGCCGGGUAUCUCCCCGGCUAUGAAAUAAGGAAAUGCUGGUGUCGCUUUCAUGCAGCUCCAGGGUGCUGGCUCUCCUGUAAAGGAGGGGGAGGACGUUUGCUGCUAUUGAGGUGGUAAUAGGAGAGGCACGUGGUAGUAGUUGGCUCUGUGUUCAGCGGCGCGGCACAAGGAAAUGCAAUGGGCUUGGCCUCCCUUGCUUUCACACUUUCAUUUCCCAGCUCCAGUAGUUAGUCAAAUAAAAUUGCAUGUCUUCGUUCCCUUCACACUGAUGAUCCAAACAGUAAUGUUCUUAAGUAACGUUUAUUACCUGUCUGCAAGGGGCUGUUUGGUCGGCAGUAGGUGAGGACAGUUUUCAUGGGCUUGGGAUAAGGACGGUUUGGUGUGCAUAGGUUAAUACCAAACCACAUCCCUCUCCAAGCCCAAGCGACAUUUUUUAUGAAUGCCGUAGGUGUUUACAGAUACGCUUUGUUAGAUCCUAUCAAUGUAAAAUAACUGGGUGGGAAUGUCUUGCCUACCUCAACACACCUGUCAGCGGCCACUUAACAACUGCAUUGUGCCGAGGUCUCUACUACAACCAUCCGUUCUAUAAACAUGAGAAAUGCCAGGUGUGUGGGGUUUUGUCAUAGCAAAAAUAUGCUAUUGCUUAUGUUAACUGGCUAUUCAGAUACUAUUCUGUUUUGUUAAACAGAAGAGUUGCAAAAAGCUUCAUGACAAUUCUGUUUUGAUGCUUGAUACUAUAAUGUGACUUCUUUAAAAUCUAGUUUGUAAAAGUAGGUUGGUUGAUUGAUUCAAGUCCACCUUGUUUUUUCCUGUUGGAGUGUAAUUUUAGUUUUAGCAUCAGUACUCUUUGGCAGUAAUUCUUCAGAUUUCAGGAGAGUCACUGGUCUAAAACUGCAGCUGGAUCCAGAAAUUGGGGAAGGCUGUUGAUUGUUGCUGCCUUGCCUUAGCUAUCACAGAUAUUAUGGGAACUGUGACUCUCUUGUGUUUCUACUCUUUGUUCCUUUUUCUGACUUGCUUAGCCUUUUUAGAAAGUGGUGUUUUUUCCACUCUAGAACUGUGUAUUGCAGAGCAUAGUAUUGUUCACUUUGUGUGGGGCCUUAAAAUUGUGUUUCACAGUGAACAAUACAAUAAAUUACUGAUCUGUGUUCUGCACUUGUGAAAAAAGUUCUGCAAGUCAGAUUUCAGAAGUCUUACUUUUCUUAAUGAGCAGAGCUAAAGUGAGGCACAGUUUCUAGUUAUGUAUCAGUGCAACAUCCAUGAAUGUGCAAGGAGCAGGAUGUCCUCAGAGCUGACUGUUAUGCUUCUUAGAGUGAGAAAUUGAGUACUGCCCAUUUUGGGUAUAUUUAUGAAAUACAAUUUUCUGAGUACAUUUUGGGACAGUCUUGAUGCAAAAUUGUAUACUUUUUAUUUUUCUGAGUUUGCAUUCAAAUGAGUCUGUUAAAGCAAUUUCUAUUUCAUAUUAACAUUUCUGGUGAGCACAAAGCUUUCUCGUUUCUUGGUGUUGGCUUUCUGCCUGCCUGACUCAUUCUGUGGUCUCAUUAUUCCGUGGAUAUUACAUGAAGAGUCAUAUUGCAGAAGAUACAGAAGUCAGAUGAAAAAUCACCCUGUCUUGAGAGUGGAGCCUGUAUUUGCAUGGUUCUGACUUAAUUGUGGAAUUUGUUGUCUAAGGAUUAUCUUCCUGGGCUGUGACAAUUUAUUGCCUGUUUGUGUUCAAUGGGGCAACGAAUUCACUUUGUGGUUGACCCUCAGGGUUGGUGCUGCAUGGGCCUAAUUAUCUUCGUGUGGCUGUACAAUACAAUCUUCAUUCCAAAGGUCAUCCUUUUUCCUCAUUAUGAAGAGGGAAAUAUUUCGGUUGUGGCGGUUUUGUGUUAUUACUUCUGCUCAUUGUUUUGUAUAGCUUCAUUAUUUAGAGCUUCAGUAGCAGAUCCAGGAAAACUACCUGAAAAUCCAAAGAUACCAAUUACAGAACGAGAAUAUUGGGAGUUAUGUAGCAAAUGCAAUAUGAUGAGACCAAAGCGUUCACACCAUUGCAGUCGCUGUGGACAUUGUGUGAGGCGGAUGGAUCACCACUGUCCAUGGAUUAAUAAUUGUGUUGGUGAAGACAAUCACUGGCUGUUUUUACAGCUGUGUUUCUACACCCAGAUCCUUAGUUCCUAUACACUGAUACUUGAUUUCUGCCAUUACUACUACUUUUUGCCUCUGAAAAAGGAAAACUGGGAUGUGUUUGUAUUUAGACAUGAACUUGCUCUCCUAAGAAUAUCUGCCUUCAUGGGUCUAAUAAUACUAGGUGGAAUAAGUCGACUCUUUUACACUCAGCUAAUGGGUAUUUUCACUGAAAAUCCGGUCUUCCCAUGGAUGGUGGAAGGUAACAGGAUAAUCAGUUCAACAGUGAUCCUCUGAUGUCAUUGUGGGAGCCCUGUAAAAGCGGAUUAUCUGUGACCCAGAUAAAAUAAUUAGAAAUUACUUGGACACUUACAAAUAACUGAUCUACUAAUCUCAUUUCCAAAGUUAAAAAAGGCCUGUCUCUCAACGUAACGCUACCAGAUGUUUCAGUUAAACAGCAUCCUUUGCAGACACUAAUCUGAAUCCUCGUUUUAAAGGAUUACCUUUGAUUGUUUUUAUCUCAAACACUAAACAGUGUUUCAUUUUUCCGUAUGUUCUAACAAACUAUUUCUAUGGAAGAAAAGAAAUUUUCUUAAUUCUUCCACUACAGUCCAUUAAAUAUGAUUUAAUGUGAUUUAUGCUGGUAUUGCAGAGAAAAACUUUUCAUUGAAACUAUUUAGUAAUUAACUUGUUUCUCUGGGGCAGAACUAUUUAAUGGAUAGGCUUUUAUAAAUUUAAUAGAUACCAUGUGGCCUUUGUGCAAAGUAGUGGAUGUAUUAUCAUAAACUAAGUGGACAGUGACUUUAUUAAUUUAAUUAAUGCUACCAGGGUUUCCUGUUAAUUAACUGUUUGAAUGGUGUGCAGUGAUAUGCCAAUAUCCUGUUGCAACAAUACUUUCUGGAUGUGGAAAAGAGAAAUUUCCCUUUAUUUUCUUUAGGAAGGAUAGAAGGGAAAAUAGUGUUCAACAGCCUGUGUGGUGCACAAUAUGGUGCCUACCACAUACAUUUUUCCCCUUAGAAGCUUUUAAAAAUAUUGAUACUUGCUUUUUAUUGUUGCAGUGUUUCUCCUUUUCACCUUAAAACAGCAAGUGUAUCUUACUAGGUAGUUUUUCAACCUUUUUACAAAGAUUGAGUUUCAAAAUAAUGAAAAUGUAGCUGCAGUUAUUCCAUUAGUAAAAUCAAGAGCUUUUUAAUUCUUUGCAUAUUUUAUAGUAUUGAUCUAUUGCUGAUUUAAUAUGCAGAGUGAUCUAGUUGUAGUUCUGCUGAAAUGCUUUUUGUCUUUAAUGAUGAGUAUCUUGUAAUUAAAAAUAUUUGUAAUCAUAUCUUUAAUCAGAUAAUCUAUUAAAUACUAUUUUGAUUAGUGAAUACUAAGGGCUUUUCCUGUUUUUUCACACAUGGCACGAGCAUAAUCAAGGAACUAUUAAUCCUCAUAAUUAAGUUUAGCAUAUUAAAAAUUAGGAUUGGUAGGGGAAAUUAGGAUUUCCAGGCAAUUGUAUUCUUUAUGUGGCUAUAAUACAGUGUAAGAUAUAAAGUAAUUGUAGAGGGAAAGCAAGGGGCUUAUAAACUACAACCCCCAACAGUAAUUGGAAAUUACUAACAGAAAAUAACUUAAUGUUAACAUUGUCUGUCUUCCUCUUCCUCGUUAUUCUUAUCCCUUCCCCUUUUCCUGUCUCUACCUUUAAUCCAGCUAUAGGUAGAUCGCCUAUUAAAAGACUGUGGGAAGUCCUAUAAAUUAAAUUGUCAGGAAUUAGUAAUGUCCUGGUCUUUGAACAUGAUUUUUGUUAACUGUGUAAAUUCUUUUGUAUCUUUACCUUAUUUUUCUCAAAUACACUUGGAAUUUGUUUAGCAUUUUUAAUGAAUGUAUUCUGACAUCUUUAAAUACAUAUUUACCGUAAAAAUAAAAUACUAGUUUGUUUAAAAAAAUCCCCUCUUUUAAAAUGUAGGAAUAAAUAGAAAUGUAAGAAACUCUAUGUGGCAAAAGAUCUCAUCUCUUUUAUUUAGGUCACUGCAUGGUCUUAGGUAAAUAGGAAUACUUUUAUUGAAAUUAAUAAUUUACAAUAUUAUAAGGAAAAAGUGCAAGCUAGAAAAUGUAAUCAGAUUUUAUACUGUGCAAGGAGUGUAAAAUAUCGUAAAAUAUCAUGCCAAAAUUAUCCCCAGUUCAUCACUCAAGAACGAAAUCCUUUUAUUAAUCUAUUUUUCUAAUAGUGAAGGUAGUACUUUAAACCACUUGAAGAUAAGUAACUGUAAAAAUAAUGUUUGAGUGUUCCAUGAGCUGAGUACAUUUUGUUUACAUAUUGCUUGUCAGAUUUAGACAUCAGACCAUUAAAAUGGCUUCUGUGUGAAGGAGAUCAACGACUAGCUUUCUUAAGUAUUUUUCCCUGAUAUUUUUGUCUUAAGAAGGUAAUUGUAGGUAUCAAUAAAUAUAGCAUGUUUUUUAUGUCUCUUGUCAUGCAGCUAUCUGCACCAAACAUACCAUAGUUUUGAAAUAGCCUGAAGUUACGAGACCUGCUUGUAUUUCCUCCAUUGUGGAUGUAUCCCUCAUUUGUUAUCAGAAGGUUUCUUUUCAUUGAAUCAUUUUCCAAUAUCCGAUAAAUAAAUUGGAAAUCUAUUUAACUGAAUUAAUCAGAGCAUAGAGGAGUGCAGGACUAUUCCCUAGACAUAACAUAGUGUAGCUUUAUUUUUCAUUUAGCACAUGAAUCCGAUAUAAGGAUUUAAAGUUAGAACUAAUAAUUUUCAGGCUGAACAUAAUUAUAAUUGAUAAAAUUAAUCAUAUAUGAGAAGUCUGGAUUAAAAAAAGAAUGCUAAAAAGUGGCCAAAAGUAAACCCAAAAUGUAUUUAAUGCCGAAAAAGAGAAAAUUUCUCAAAUAUGAUGUAUUCUUUCUGUGUUUAGUAUUUUAUAUUCUUGCGUUGCUAAUCUGUCACUUGCAUGCACACCAUGGGAGGAUGUUAUACAAAAAGCAAAAAAACCCCUUUAUAUAAAGGAUGUGUUGUCUUGAACUUUCAGAUAAAAGCAAAGGCUGCAAAUCCAGGAAGGCUUGCAAGUUUUGUUUUCUCUUUUUCUGUUUCAUUAUACUUUUCUGCUGAUUCAUCUAUACUGAACAUUUGAAAAUACUGAAAGCAUGGCAUAAUGCUUACAUUCUUCUACUGCAAGUAUUUAAUAGAGCUGUAAUGAUUGCAUGUCAUUUUAAGCAAACACAAAAGAAAAACUGAACCAGGGAUUGUAGCUUCAUGCUUUGGAGUUAGUCGUUUGAGUUACAAAUUACAGUUUAUCCUUUGGAAAACAUGAUUCAGUAAGCAAAAAAUACCCUUUGCAUUUUUUCAUACUGAAUUAUUUCAUGAUAAAACCCAUCCUAUAGCACGGUCUGUUAAACAGUGCAUGUGAUCUUUUAAAUUUUCUUUUUUUUUUUUGGCAAUUGGUUAUGCUAAAUAAAAGUGUAGAUGUGAAAGAUACAGUUCUCUUCGGAGCUAAUGUGGAUGCAUUCGUUUGCAAGUGAAUCUGAAGCUGGUUUGCAGAACUCUUUCAGUGCUUUCAUGUACGUGUCUUUCCAUUCUUCUCCUUCCUCUUACAGCAGUUUUAGCUGUGGCAGUAGCUUACUUGGAGUAAGCAAAGUGCUCUUACGGACUUGUGGUAUAAGCUCAAAGUGAAAAAAACCCACAUUUCUUCUCCCCUCAGCAGAAUCUGAACACUUUGCCCUUUUCCUAUUCCUAUACCUGUGUUUAUUUCCUCUAAUUUCUUUUGCCUAUCUCACUAAGGUGUGAUUUUUUUUCUCUAGUUGCUUUAAGAUGCUUAUGAUUGGCUAUGUAUCUCUCAAUAACCAGGUGCAGGAACAAUUUUUAUUUCCAAUCUGGAUGAUGACUUUGGGAAUCCAGAUGAUCCAUCAUGUCAAAUUAAUCAGUUGUGUGUUUGUCAAUUUCAUCUUGUAUUCAAUUCCAAAUUUUAAGGGAUUUUUAGAGUUAGAGAUUACUAGGAUUCCAUAGGUAUGUGAUGUUUGCUCAUAGCAAGUUAUUUUAAACUUUUGGAUGAGUGCCAGUGCUCCAAAAGGUUUUAACAUUAGCAUUAGCUUUGAGUCUGGAAAAAAAAAUCUUAGUAGAGUUCUAUUUGUAUUAAUAGUAAUCCAAGCUGAUAGUAGAUGCAGACAGCCAAAGCCUCUUAGGCUGAACACAUUAAUUCUGAUGUUGUAGCAAAAUCUUGGUAUACAUCAAAUGAAUAAUUAAGAGAGAUGAUAUUCUGGUUGAAAGCCAUUUGUAAGAUGUCUUAAUGAGCAGAACACCUUGUCAUUCAGAAGAAUAGUGGCUAUUCUGGUCCUUUGUCUCCAAAGAAGAAAUAUUAGUGUCUGAGAAGGAAGCCUUAAAUAACAGGUCAAAACUCAGCUGUGGUGCUCUCCUUUUCCUUCAUCUCCUGUCUCCAGAGCGGCUACUGACUUUCCUGGGGUGCUGUGAAGUUUCACUUUCAUGUGAAAAGGACACAACAAGCAUAGAAAAAAUGUCAAACUGUUGUGAAGAUGUAUCAAGGCCCCGAAAGCCAUGGCAGCAGACCUUCUCAGA